AUGGCACGCGGGGUGACACAGAAACUGCCUAUGGAGUUCGAGGCAAUGCUGUUGAGUCCCUGUUCGCCAAAGCAGCGGUGCUGUGCCCCUCUGCCUGGCCCGACAAUGGGCCUGAGGCCCCAGACUCCGAGAAACAGCCGUUUUCAACUCAAAUCUUGUUGCCCACUCAGCCAGCUUCGACCAGCAGCGAGCAGCGCCUUCCAACUCCGGAGCAAAAUUUUCAGAACAUAGAGCAAGAAUAUAGUCAUUUUCAGAAGUGGAGACAUUUAGAAUUCAUUCUCAAUCAAAGUGAAGCAUGUACUUCAAAAAGCCAUCCUGUCUCUUCCACACUCACAGCACCUAGUUCUCCAGGUUUUUCCUGGAUGAAGAAAAACCAGCCUACUUUUACCCUUCACAAGUUCGAAUAAUAUGUGAGCGACUCUUAAAAGACUAUGAAGAAAAAAUUCGGGAGGAGUAUGAACAAAUCCUCAAUACUAAACUAGCAGAACAGUAUGAGUCAUUUGUGAAAUUCACACAUGAUCAGACUAUGCGGCAAUAUGGGACAAGGCCAAAAGCUAUGUAUCCUGAAGCUCUAUUGCAUAUCUGGUACCAGGUUUGACCUCAAGAGAUGGUUGCUGUACACUUUUUGCAACUGGUUUGAUAUCACAUUUCAGCUCCAACUUUGCAUCCUGAGAAUACUUCAAUGUUUCUGCAGGUCCAUUUUAUACAACUUGAAAGACCUUAAAACUUUCUGUUGCCA